rnacentral:rRNA from 1 species
UACGGUAGGAGACGAGCGUUUGUCCGGAAUUACUAGGGCGUAAACGCGUGGUAGGCGGAUGGGCAAGUCUGCUGUGAAAGCUCCUGGCUUAACCGGGAGUGUCGGUGGAAACUGCCAAUCUGGAGGACGGUAGAGGUAGGUAGAAUUCCCGGUGUAGUGGAUGAAAUGCGUAGAGAUCGGGAGGAAUACCUGUGGCGAAAGGCGGCCUACUGGGCCGGACUGACGCUGAGACGCGAAGGCGUGGGGGAGCGAACGGG